AGUGCUGUCUGUGAGUACAGUGCUCUCCUUUUAAAUCCCCCUCUCUGUGGUGAAUCAGGACUCACAGCGCAGCCCUCCGGUGAUACAGGAAGUGGUAGAGAAGUCUACUGAAACAGCCUACAAUAUGUUCCAUCAUCCUUCAUAGAGGCCUCCUCUGUGUGACCAUCAUUUUCCGGCUGUGAGUGGGGCCUUCAUGGAUUCCCCGUACAAUGGCAACACGUCCCUCCAGACCUCCACCUCCAACCUCAACGCCAACUUCUCCCGGCCGACUGAAGCGGAAGAGGAGGGCAAGUACUCCAGUGAUGCCAUCUGGCUUUGGGUAGCCGUCAUUGCAACCAUCGGCAACAUAGUAGUGGUAGCAGUGGUUUGCGCCUGUGCCUUCUAAGACCCGUUGGUGACAAGCACACAGCCGAACCUCCCUCUUGCCCCCUCUUUCCUCCACUUUAACCUAUCCCUGUAUUCAUUUUCCUCUUGUAUGUGUCCAUCCAUAAUAUUAAAGCAAAGGCCCUGUUCUGAGGGUCGACAGAAUAUGAUAGUGAAAAUAUAGGGACUGACAAAAUUGAUGUUCUCUAGGACUAUGAAUGAGUUUCUAAGACUAGGAAUGAGAGAGACAAUCCUCUGGAGUUACCAUACUGUAUCUUACCUAAAGCCUAUGUGUUCUUUUUGAAUGAGAAACAGGGAAGUGAGCUGAUGUGGGCUGUGCAUUUUUAUAAUGAACAUUUGUAAAUUAGUUAUGGAAAUGGGAUUAUGUAAAGCAGUGAGCCUCCCUUCUGCUUUCCAAUUGGAGGGAUCACCAGAAGUCAGCCUAAAGGAUUAGGGAAGUGUACAGCUGUGAGAUCCCCUCUGCCUAUGAACCUGAACAGAACACCACACCAUAUAUCUUCGUCUGGUUGUUGUCAUGUGCCUGUUUGUCUGAAAUGGGUGUGUUGAUGCUGCUGUCUUGGUCCAGGUCUCUCUUGAAAAAUAGAUUUUUAUCUCAACAAGACUAACCUGGUUAAAUAAGGGUGAUAUAAAUAAACACCCAAUCAGCGGCUCUAAUUGUGGUUGGCCACCAUCUCGGAGACCAGUGGAGAGAUAUGUGACAGAUGGUGGCUGGUAGGGGGGCAGAGUGGACAGCGGAGGGGCCCAGGGCAGACUUGGCAGUGUCCCCAGUACCCAGUGUUCUCUCCUGCUGCACCCCUUCACUACCAUUCACCAUUACUGCGCUGUCCUAUCCACAUCAGCCUCUAAGUGCUAGAAAUCUCCCGAAGCACUUUAUAAAACCCAAUAAACUGGGGCGUUUUCUUCCAUUUUAACUGCAGUGUUCAGUGCCCACCUGUUGCAUCUCUGCAGUGUCUGUAGACCUGUGCCAGUUGAACUAUGCAGUGAUGACAUCUCCUGGGCGAAUCAACGUUGUUUCCACAUCAUUUCAAUGAAAAUGACGUUGAACCAACAUGGAAUAGAUGUUGAAUUGACGUCUGUGCCCAGUAGGAUAACUGUGGAUAAUGUUUAUAAGUGAUACAGAUGUAUACAAACAUAGUAUCACCCACAAGCCAAAUGAGGGAAUUAAGUUGUCAGCACAAAUCAGAUGUUAUACCACCCCUGCUGACAUUAUCUGAAAUCACGGAACCACCAAUUACAUCGCACUAAAUCAUUGAGCCGCCCACCAUAACCUGACUAUCCCAAAUUACCAGACCGCCACUACAACAGCCCCAAGUUGUUGAGCUAGCAAUCAAACGAUUUCACUCGUCAUAAGAAACCCCAUUGCUGUUAACGUUCGUUUUUUUGUUGUUGUGCUAGGCAGGCAGAAUCUCACAUUCACCUCAGAUUGUCUCUCAGUACACUAGUGUGUUUGGGUGGCAGCAGCCACAGUAGUUAUGUGCUGUCUCCCAUGCACCCAGUGGAGUGGGGCCACAGACUUGUCAAACGGCAGGGCUGUAAUGAGAUGUAAUGCCUCUCUCUCUCUUUCCUAAAGCGAACACUGAUCUCCUCGUUGCGCUGCGGUGAUCAGAGCAGAUCUGAACAAAGAUAGUGCUUCAAGUGAAUUUUUUAAGUGACUUCCUCAUUUAAUCAACACUCAUUGUGAGAGA